AUUCCUACGGGACGCAGCAGUAGGGAAUCUUCCACAAUGGGCGAAAGCCUGAUGAAGCAACGCCGCGUGGGUGAAGAAGGUCUUCGGAUCGUAAAACCCUGUUGUUAGAGAAGAAAGUGCGUGAGAGUAACUGUUCACGUUUCGACGGUAUCUAACCAGAAAGCCACGGCUAACUACGUGCCAGCAGGCGCGGUAAUACGAAGGUGGCAAGCGUUAUCCGGAUUUAUUGGGCGUAAAGGGAACGCAGGCGGUCUUUUAAGGCUGAAGUGGAAGCCUUCGGCUUAAACGGAGGAGUGCAUUGGAAA
rnacentral:rRNA from 1 species